GAUUUCUAGGGCGUAGGGGUCUCAUCUCAAAUCAAUUCCUGCUUAGCUUGGGGGUUUCAGGAGUCUCUAAACUUCAGACCAAAGGUAGUUCCAGGUCUACGAAGCUCGGCUGUGCUUGCUCCAGUUGUGCACCUGAUGAUCACGAUGCCCAUGUCUGUCUAAGGCAUUGCUUAUGGCUACCAUCACAAGUCACGGCCUUACAUACGUUCAUCCUCAG